UGAAGGGGCGGGGUUAGAGGGGGUGGGGUUAAGGGGAUUUGGGGAAAUUUCAGGGGAAUUUGGGGAGAAUUGGGCAGAAUUAAGGAGAUUUGGGGAAAUUUCAAGGGGGAUUCGGGGAGAAUUGGGCAGAAUUGGGCAAGAAUGGGCAGAAUUAAGGGGAUUGGGGGAAAUUCGAGGGGGAUUUGGGCAAAAUUGGGCACAAUUAAGGGGAUUUGUGGAAAUUCGAGGGGGAUUUGGGCAAAUUUGGGCAGAAUUAAGGGGAUUUAUGGAAAUUCGAGGGGGAUUUGGGCAAAAAUGGGUAGAGUUAAGGGGAUUUGGGGAAAUUCAAGGGGGAUUUGAGCAGAAUUGGGCAGAAUUAAAGGGAUUUGGGGAAAUUUGAGGGGGAUUUGGGCAAGAAUUGGGCAGAAUUAAGGGGAUUUGUGGAAAUUCGAGGGGGAAUUGGGCAAGAAUUGGGCACAAUUAAGGGAAUUUGGGGAAAUUCGAAGGGGGUUUGGGGAGAACUGGGCACAUUUGGGCAAAAAUGGGCAGAGUGAAAGGGAUUUGGGGGAAAUUCGAAGGGGAUUGGGGCAAAAUUGGGCAGAAUUAAGGGGAUUUGGGGAAAUUCGAGGGGGAUUUUUGCAAGAAUUGGGCAGAAUUGGGCAGAAUUAAGGGGAUUUGUGGAAAUUUGAGGGGGAUUUGGGCAAAAUUGGGCACAAUUAAUGGGAUUUGGUGAAUUUCAAAGGGGAUUUGGGGAGAACUGGGCACAUUUGGGCAAAAAUGGGCAGAGCUAAAGGGAUCUUGGGGACAUUUGAGGGGAUUUGGGCCACAGCACGGGAAUAGGUCGGCUGUGGGUGGGUGGGGCUUGUAUGGGCGUGUCUGAGGGGGCGUGUCCGUGUGAGGGGGUGUGUCCAUGGUCGUCCCCGCCUUCCCCCCCCCCCCCAGGGGACCUUCACACCGGCCAGUGACGCCUGGGCUUUUGGGGUGACGCUGUGGGAGGUGCUGACGCGGUGCCGCGAGCAGCCCUACGGCCGCCUCAGCGACGAGCAGGUCAUCGCCAACGCCGGGCACCACUUCCGCGCCCAGGGCCGCCAGGAGUACCUGCCCUGCCCCCCGGGCUGCCCGGCGGCGCUGCACGGGGUGAUGCUGCGCUGCUGGGCCCGCGAUGCCGCCGACCGCCCGUCCUUCGGCCUCCUGCACCGCCUGCUGCGCGACCACACCGUCCUGGCCUGACCUUCCUCCUCCUCAUCCUCCUCCAUCAUCCUCACUGUCCUCCUCCUCCUCACCAUCCUCCUCCUCCUCCGUCAUUCUCAUCAUCCUCCUCCUCACCACAGCAGCCGUCAUCAUCCUCCUCACCAUCCUCAUCCUCCUCUUCCUCCUCUUCACUACAGCAGCUCUCAUCACCCUCCUCCACCAUCAUCCUGACCAUCCUCAUCCUCACCAUCUUCCUCCUCUCCAGAGCACACCUCAUCAUCCUCUUUCUCCUCCAUCGUCCUCACCAUCCUCCUCCUCCUCCAUCAUCUUCAGCAUCAUCCUUACCAUCCUCAUUCUCACCAUCAGCAUCCUUCCUCCCUCUUUCAGCCUCCCUCUUCAUCCUCCUCCUCCUCAAUAGAAUCAUCCUUCAUCCCACCUCAUCCUCCUCCUUCAUUGUCCUUCAUCUCUCCUUCAUCUUCCUUCUCCUGCUUUAUCGUCCUCCUCAUCAUCCUUUGUCCCUCCUCCUCUGCCAUCCACCUCCUCCUUCAUCCUCCCUCUCAUGCUUCAUCCUCCUUAUUGCUCUCCUCCUCAUCCCUCCUUCAGCCUUCGUCUUCCUGCUCCUUCUCUUUCACUUCCUUCUCCUUCAUCUUCCUCAUCAUCGUCCUCAUUCUUGCUCCUCCUUCAUCUUCCCCCUCCUUCUUCUCUUCCUCCUCCUCCAUCAUCUUCCUCUCUUCCUUCAUCUUCCUCCUCCUCCUUCAUCUUCCUCUUCACCCAACACUGGAAGCACCCUACACUACUGACACGGGACCCCCCUCACCCCUGGGACCACCCCAACCCCCUGGGACCACACUGGAUGCCCAGGUUCCCCCCUAGACCCAUCUCCACUCGACACCCUCAUUAGUGGGGGGCCAAUUAGCGCCGGUGGUAGCGGGGGAGGGGUGGGGGCUGUGGCGGGGGAGGGGCUGUAAAUAUUUGGUGCCGAAACGGAGAUUUUUACACUAAUAUAUAGAUGUUUUGGGGGUCGUUUGUGUCUGUCUCCUCUGUGUGAGGGUGACCCGGACACCUGGGUCCUUUCUAGGGUGCCCCAGAGGCCUGGGUCUCCCCUGGGGGUGCCCAAAUGCCUGGGUCCCCCCCUUGGGGUGCCCGGAUGCCUGGGUUCCCUCCAGGGGUGUCCGAACACC
ensembl:lncRNA